rnacentral:lncRNA from 1 species
GUUUAUUCUCUGCCUUUCUGCAACAACCUUGUACAUGUUUGACAUCUCCUGUUUAUCCCCUGACCAAUUCUCCAUCUCUCUUUCCCCAGAUUUUCAGCCCUGGUGCUGGUCUCCACUGCAACUUUCCUCUCCGUACUUGCUUGAGCACAGUGCUGAAGACCAGACAGUGGCUCUCCAGGCAUAUAUGUAUCUGGGUGAUGUUGUGCAGCAAGUGACAGUGUCUAGGAAACAUCCCCAGAACAUCACAAAAAUAUCUGCGCUCCUGAUUUGGGGAGAGGAUGUGCUGCAUGGCCCAGAGGAAGCUCACGAGCAUCUCUCACCUGAGGAACCAGCCACCAAAUUUGUCGACAGUUUACAUGGUACACAGGAGGCAACUCUGCCCUGGGCAGGCCAGGAAAGAUGCUGGGCUCCACAGCUUCCUUUUCUGUUGACUGGCAAGAUGGUGCUUUGUCAGUUCUGUGGGCUCCAUGAGCACAAGCUUGUUCAGACACGACUCCUGGGGACAGAGCUGCUGGCUGGAUUGCUGGACACACCGACAGCAAAGGGAAAUGUUCUCCUCCUUAAUCCAUGCACGAGGCGGUAAUGCAG